rnacentral:sRNA from 1 species
UCGGGUGUGGUUAGUAUGUGUUCAGGUGGUGGCCAUUACAGUUUCAUUAGAAUAUGAGCAACUCCAUAUUAAAUAAAAGAUGUUUCAGCUGGACAGAAAGACAAGUUGAAUGUGGAAGAACAUUCUAAAACAUAUUUCCUCAUGGAGUAACACAUUGGGAAACGAGUGCUGCUCUUAGUCCAUAAAUCUAUUUAUGAAUUCAGAUUGUUGUCAUCUCCUGAGAUAAAACUUACGACGCAGAGAAUGCUUUCACUGGGUGAAUAAGUUCUUGGAUAGACGGCAGGAAUAAAAGGAACUAGAAUGUCAUUACGUAGAUCUUUGUCAUUCUCCAGACCCAGUGAGAAGCAGUGCAGUGUUUCUUUAUUGGAUGGAACAAGCAUUGAUCUACCCUUUAAAGUAAAUAGUUCAUAAGUAUUUCAA